UCCUGCCAAGAUUAAGCCAUGCAUGUGUAAGUGUAAAUAUACUAUACUGGGAACUGCGAAAUGGGUCAUUAUAUCAGUUAUAGUUUAUUUGGUGAAGUGCCCUACUUGCGAUAACCUGUACUGAAUUCUAGGGCUAAUACAUGACAAAGUCCUCUGGCGAGGCGCGUUUAUUAGAAUGAAAACCAUAUGCUUCGGCAUGAUAGUGAGAAAUAGUAACCUAUCGUAUCGCAUGCUUAAUGUAGCGAUGAUUCUUUCGAGUUUCUGCCCUAUCAAUUUUCGAUGGAACUAUAUGGGCCUACCAUGGCAAUAACGGCCAACGAAUAAUUUGGGUUCGAUUUCUGAGAGGGAGACUGAGAGAUGGCUACCACAUCCACGGAAAGCACCUCGCGCGAAAGUUACCCAAUCCUGACACACGCAGGCAUUGACAAUAAAUCACAAUGCGGGACUAUACGUCUUGCGAUUGGAUUGAGAACUGUGUACGACUCUUAUCGAUAGGACAUUGGAGGGCAAGUCUGGUGCCAGCAGCCGCGCUAAUUCCAGCUCCAGUAGCGUAUAUUACCCCUGUUGCAGUAUAAACCUCAUUGCAGUAAAAAGCUCAA
rnacentral:rRNA from 1 species